rnacentral:SRP_RNA from 1 species
GCCAGGCGUGGUGGCUCACGCCUGUAAUCCUAGCACUUUGGGAGGCUGAGGUGGGCGGAUCGCUUGAGUCCAGGAGUUCAAGACCAGCCUGGGCAACAUAGCGAGAUCCUGUCUCUA